rnacentral:ncRNA from 2 species
UUCAGAUAAAUUGAUAGUCCUCAUAUAAUAUCGACAUGAUGGGUCGGAAGUUUCUACAUUGCAACCAAUAUUUGCAAUACUAUGGGGAAAAAGCAUUAUUAU